rnacentral:tRNA from 1 species
GAGGGUAUAGCUCAAGUGGUAGAGCGCACGCUUAGCAUGCAUGAGGUCCUGGGUUCAGUCCCUGAUACCUCCU